AUGUUUUUGUUCAUGUUUAAGGCAGCUAGGUGCAAGACCACUACAGAAAUGUUACGUCCACUUUGAGUACCAUAACUCAAAGUGGAUGUAGGCUAUAAAUGUUUUCCAUAACCCUGCAGGUCUUAAAUCAAUCAAUGAAACAACAAACACAAGUGUGAAGCUCCGUAAGUGAUUAUGUGUAUGUAAUUUUUCAACUGAUUUAAUAGUGACUUUAAUAGUCUGGAAAGUAGUUUAAUGAUUGUAAACAUAUUGUGCUUAUUUAGGCUAUCACAUUUUGUUGAAAUAAAAUGCAGAAAUUCUAAUUAAGUACAUUUGCCAAUUUCAGUUGAUCCUGAAGCAACAGAGCAACCCAGAGUUGUCAACACAACAUGGCUAAAGGGUCUUCUCAUUGGAUCCGGGGUCUUGAAUGCAGUGCUCAUUUUAUUGCUGUCAGCCAUUUCGGUGCUGUGGAAGAGAGCUGCUUGCCAGAAGAACCAUGACUCUCCUCCAACCCCUGAACCACCUGAAAGGGCAGACAGUCUAGUGUAUGAAGUGAUAUAGCUGGUACACCCAGCGAGAGGACCAAGGCCCGACCGCAUAGCCUCAACCAUUUACUCCAGAGUCCAGUUUCCAAAUCAUGAACUCACAACUACUGCUUAAUAAGGUGCCACAUCUUGACUUUGGUGGAUAAUGUGAACUAGAAUAUGACUUUGGUAGAUGAAUUGAAUCUACUCUGAUUAUUCCUAUAUUUAUAUAAUGGAUCUAAUGCUGCUCUUCGUCACUCGUCUAUAUACCAGUCAGCAAUAUCUUACAAUUAAAUUGUUACU